UGGUGAGCCAGCGAGCGGACUGGCGCGCGGCCCCUGCGCACUGGGCUGCCGCCUGCGCGCGUCGCGGGCGCAGCUGCAUUUUCGCCUCCGCGGCUCGAGAGCCCAGUCCCGUACGAACCACCUCUGAAUCCCGGGAGGACGCGUUCCCCUACGCCCUCCGCACCCGCGCCCCUUCCCCACCGCAACAGGUCAGGGGAGGGCGGAGGCGGAGAGGGCGUACGACUUGCGACUGGAGGAGCAAGGGUCCGGAAGAUGAACAGACUUGUUACUUUCCACUGACUGGCAGCAAUGGCGUUUACCGAAAGAGUCAAAAGCAGCAGCAGCAGCAGCAGCAGCAGCAGCAGCAGCAGCAGCAGCAGGUAACAACUGUGAAAUCCCUGACUCAAAGAUGCGACAGUAUUUAAGUUUAUAAUCUAUGUUUCAAAGAAUAAACUUGAUCUUUUUCAUUUUUGCAAUGCAGUAAAAUAUGUGAAAAUGUCAGUUUUCUCUACAGGAAGCCAAACCUCUUAGACUGGCUACAUAUUUUCUUUAAAUCUAAUACUCUCUCAGCCUCAUAACUCCUUUCUUUAACAUGUGGAUGUUAUAUAUAGUAGAUCAGCAUCCUAAUUCUGUGUUCAAGAUACUGGUCCAUAUUCCACUGAUCCGGAGAAAUGAGCACCUAUUCAGCCUGUGCUGAAACAAGUAUGAGAUCUGCCUUAUCAUGGGAGCUUCAAAGGAGGGAAUUCUGUCAGUUACAUUUUAUUUACUUCCAUAUCUCUCCCUCCGGUGUGCACAUACACUUAACUUCCUUCUUGCAUAUACUAUGGGGUCAGGGUUGAUUGAGGGGAGCAUGUUAACAUUCUGAAGCAGUUAUUAAGAAUAAUUCAUUUGAUAGCCAGAAGGCAUUCUUAAUAUCACCGAUCAGUUUUUUUUUUUAUGUACACUGUUAGAUACUCCAAAACAUAUUAAAGUAUGAGACCUGUAGACUCAAACUUACUCAACUGAUAUUUAUUGAGAGGCAGACGAUGGUGCAUGCAAUUCUGGAAGGUCCUGCCUGGAUGCUUUCCCACUUCCCCUUUCUGGUUCAAUUAGGAAACUUGUCCUCCAUUCCAGGUGGCCCUGGUGGGACUGUUGUUAAACUCGGUGCACUGUCCUCCCCCACAGAGGAAGGCAUGUGACCCAGGCUGCAACAAUUCAUGUUCUGCUAGAGCUGGGGGAAGCUAUUGUCAUCUGUCUUUAGGCUUGUCCUUGUGUUCGGUUACACAUAAGUUUUAAAUUUGUAUGUGGUUAAAUGUCUUGUCCUUUAUGGAUUCUGGUUUUGAUUGUGCUUAGAAAGGUCUUUCCAACUCCAAGAUUGUGAAAAUAAUGUCAUGUGUUCCCUGCUGGCACUUCAGUGGUUUCAUUUUUUGCAUUUAAAUCAGAACUUGUGAGCUGGUGGCCUAUGGGACAGAUCUGGUCAACAGAUGGGUUUUGUUUGGCCCCUCACAGUGUUCUAAAAAAAUAUAUCUGCCAAUGUUUUUUACAUAACAAUCUAGACUUCCAUCUUCUCUUUAAAAAUUUAAGAUUUAACAACAUUGGGCUUGCAUUGCUAUAUCACGGCACUCAGAUACAGUCAAAUGGCUGUUGCUCUUUUAGACAAGGCCAUGAGCUUAGACAAGUUCUAAUUCAGAACUUACCAAAUGGUAUGCCAUCAGUAUGUUUCAGGUGUGCCAACAUGUUCGUCCCCUCAGCCUGCCAGUCAGCCAGAACUCCAGGAUUCCCACCUGCAUUCCCCCUGCAGACUUCUGCUUUGUCGGGAUUCCCCAGAAAGACUUGAUGUAAAAAAAAAAAAAAAAAAA